GCCGGAAUCAUGAUGGCGCUUUACGUUUCAGAUACUAGGCAAGCCAACAGUUACAAAUUUAAUACACUAACCCUUGACCAAAUGAGUAAAUAACAUAAAUUAAAUCAGAAUAGAUUAAAAGGAGUGCAGAACUUCAUAAUGACCCAAGUACUUAUACACAACUAUCCUAAAACCGGUGUCACAAGUCACGAACUUCUAAGAGUCACUACAAACACUAGCUGAAAGAAAAUACAACCGUUUUUCAAUUAAAAGAAAUAGUAAACUGGAAUAACUGGAAGGGAACUCGAGGGUCUGCGAACGCCGGCAGAUCUACAUUGGGUCUCCCAUUGGAUUGAAGGCAGCAACUCAACUCAGGUCAACACGGCCCGGUACCGAAAUCCGCAUAGAAAGUGCAGAGUACAGUAUCAGUACAACUGAUUACGUGUACUCGUAAGUGCCGAUCCUAACCUCAGCGAAUUAGUGACGAGACUAGGAUAAGACACAUGCAUAACCUAUGCAAUUAAAUAAUAUACUAGUAGAAUACAAUUAAUAUAAGCGAAAUAGAAAUUUACGGGAGGGGAAGCAUGCUAAGGGGGUUGCAGGUUAAUCACAGUAAUAAAGGAAAUUUAAACAGCUAGUGCACCUUGAACCAGUAAUAAUAAGUAAACACAACUAACAAAAAAUGCACAGAAUCACCCUUCAUGUUUUUACUCUCAGCCUCACAGGAUAAUCAAUAAUAGAAACGUGCACGGCAUCACCAUUCGUGCUUUAUCGCUCAACCUUACCAUAUCAAUAAUAGAAACGUGCACGGCAUUACCCUUCGUCCUUUAUCGCUCAACCUCACCAUAUCAAUAAUAGAAACGUGCACGGCAUUACCCUUCGUCCUUUAUCGCUCAACCUCACCAAAACAAGUGACAACAAUAAUAGAGAGAUAGAAAUGAUAACAUCAAGUCUUACUUCAUCAUCUAACUCCACAAUACCAACCUCAACUUUCAGUCAACACUCAAUCAAAACCAAAUUUAGUUAAACAAGAUAGGAAAUGGCUCAACACAUCGAAUAGAUAAUGUAACAUGGAUAAUAUGACCAAGGAUAUAACAUUUACAAGAAUAAGACUCAAUUAUAUGCCAUGACUCGACAACAACAUAUAGAUACUCGUCACAUCACCUAUACAUUGUACUUAACAUCUAACACGUAACAAAUAAACAAUUAAUACCUAAUCCCUAAAGCUAAGGUUGCCUUAGGAACUACCCAUGAUUACAAGAAAUUUGAUUUAGGUAAUUUUAAAAAAAUCAACAAAAGUCAACACCCUGACCCCUUUGGUCCAAAUAUGAAAUUCAGAACAAAAAUCGAUUAUCCAUUCACCCCCGAGCCUGGAUAUACAACUGUUUUUGGAAGCCGACUUCAAUUUAAGGUCUAAAUUCCCAAAUUUUAAAAUCCCUAGUUUCUACCCAAAAAUCUCCAAUUCCACCAUGAAAAUCUUAGGUUCUAGGUUUAAAUCUUAUAAAAUAAAGUGAAAGACCGAAGGAGAUGAGCUAAGAAUCAUUUACCUAUGAUUUGGGGAAGAAAUAAUCUUUGGAAAAUCGCCUAUAGGGUUUCUUGUUUUGAAAAUUUGAAGAAUGAUUGAAAACUCACGUCUAAGUCCCUCUUACACAGCUGCAAAUGUCGCAUUUGCGCCCUGAACUUCAAAUUACGAAGCUUGCAAAUGCGAGAAAUGUAUCACAAAUGCGAACCUAUCGCAUUUCUGCUUCUAUCGCAAAUACGAAGGACCCCUUCCCCAGACCAACUUCGCAAAUUCGAAGGGUUGUUCGCAUUUGCGAACAUAGGCUGGCCCAGCUUCUCUUCGCAUGUGCAAUGAGAAGCUCGCAAAUACAACAUCAACAGUAGUUGCAAAUGCGAAUCCUGACCUCACAUUUGCGAGGUCUGAGGCCUCAACAUUGCUGAAGAAUACCAGAAACUUUUCUAUGUUCCAAUUUGCUUUGUAACCUAUCCGAAACUUACUGGAGCCCUCGGGCUCCAAACCAAGCAAAUAAACAAGUCAUAAAACGUCAUAUAAGCUUGCUCGUGCGAUUAAAUCGCCAAAAUAACAUCUAGAACAACAAAUUUAGCAUCAAAUCACAUGAAAUUCUUUAGAAGACUUUAAAAUUUAUUUUCUCGAUCGGAUGCCCGAAUCACAUCAAAUCAACUUCGAAUUUUAUCAAAUUUCACAUACAUGACUUAAAUAUUAUAUUAAACAUGUGCCGAGAUCCGAAAUUAAAAUAGGGGCCCGAUACUUAUGAUCAAACAUUAAUCGAUUUCUUUAAAUCAUUAGAUUUUCAUACUUACAAUUCAUAACAAAUAUUUAUUACUCGGGCUAGGGACCUCCGAAUCUAAUUCCAUUAAUACGCCCAGGUCCUAUAUUCAAUACAGAACCAUGUGGACUGUCAAAAUACAAGUCCGGGUUCGUUUACUCAAAACAUUGACUGAAGUCAACUAAAUCAACUUUUAAAGGGAAAAAUUAUUAUUUUUCUCAAAUUUCCAUCUAAAGGCUUCCCGGAAAUACACUCGUACUGUGCACAUAAAUCGAGUAGGAAUAAAAUGAAGUUUUGAAGGCUUGCAAUAUGGAAGCGAGUUCUACAACAUAAGAUGACUUUUUGGGUCAUCACAACAAGAUUCUAUGAACAUGCUAAAGGGAGUGAAAAUAUCCCACAAACCAGAAAAUUCACCCAAAUAUUUUGCAACUUUCAAAGAAGAACGAGACCAAUAAUUCACUUCAAAACGUUUUGUUAUUCAGAAGACGGUCCAAUACAGCUUCAAUUUUAUAUCGAAUCCCCCGGAAAUUAUCUAAAAUUUACAACAAUAAAAGGGAUGGUCAUUUGUUCUAUCCCAUUCUUAAUACCCUAGGAAAUUUUUCUCGUCUCUCCCCAUUCUAAAAUCUUCUUUUCACUUCACCCACCAAAAUCCCAAUCAAAUACUUCUAAAUCUAAAUCUUCUUAAGAAAUUCGAAACAUUAGCGAUGACUAAACCCACAAAGUUUUUAGAUUAUAAGAAUCAGAGAAACUAACCGAAAAGGGAGGAUUUCACAUAUUUGAGCACUGAUACCCGGUGUCUCGACCACUAUUUGAUGUUGUCAGUCGUUAGGUGGACUGGAAGAGAAAUUGGAGAGGAAAAAGCUAGUGGUA
rnacentral:lncRNA from 1 species